rnacentral:rRNA from 1 species
ACGGCUCAGUAACACGUCGAUAAUCUGCCCUAUGGUCUGGGAUAACCUCGGGAAACUGAGGGUAACACCGGAUAGAAGAUUGAUACUGGAAAGUUCUUUCUUUGAAAGGUUACGCCAUAGGAUGAGUCGGCGGCUGAUUAGGCUGUUGGUGAGGUAACGGCUCACCAAACCAAAGAUCAGUAGGGGGUAUGAGAGUACUGUCCUCGAGAAGGGCACUGAGACAAGGGCCCUAGCCCUAAGGGGUGCAGCAGUUACGAAAACUUUACAAUGCGCGAAAGCGUGAUAGGGGAAUUCCGAGUGCUUACUUUACAGUAGGCUUUUGUUAAGUGUAAGGAGCUUGACGAAUAAGUGGUGGGUAUACUGGUGCCAGCCGCCGCGGUAACACCAGAGCCACAAGUGGGGACCAUUUUUAUUGGGUCUAAAGCGUCCGUAGCCGGUUCAGACAGUCCUUUGUGAAAUUGUUAGGCUCAACCUAGCAGCGUGCAAGGGAAACUACUGAACUUGGGACCGGGAGACGAUAAGAGUAUGCCAGGGGGAGCGGUAAAAUGUUUUAAUCCUUGGUAGACUUCCGAUAGCGAAGGCACUUAUCGAGAACGGGUCCGACGGUCAGGGACGAAGGCUGGGGGAGCAAAACGGAUUAGAUACCCGUGUAGUCCCAGCAGUAAACGCUGCCCAUUAUGUGUUGCGUACCUCACGAGGGUAUGCAGUGCCGUAGCGAAGGCGUUAAAUGGGCCACCUGGGUAGUACGGUCGCAAGACUGAAACUUUAAGGAAUUGGCGGGGGAGCAC